GAAUCUGACACGUACAAUUGUUUGCUUGUCAGAUUCGCUUCAUCGAUGACUGUAGAGUUUUUCUGGGUGGAUCCAAAAGAGAUAAAGUCAGCUUCCGUUUUUUAUACAAAAAUUAUAUAGCAGUCUUUCUUGAAAAGUAGAGUUUGUAACUGUGCGCAAUUGUUUAUAUGGCAAAUUCGCUGAUUAAAUCGUUUGAAAUCGGUGCACACGCGUGACGUGACACGGUGGAAAAAUAAAUCUCUGCCAGAGAGGAAGUCGACGUUGGACGGGAGGAGGCGAACGUCGAUAGAGCCGCGUCCGCGCGUAUUGCGCAAGCGGAUCGUCCCGUCCGCUCGGCAAAUUGACAUUUUCCGUGCGAACAGCGGCGGAACGUGCGCGCGGACUUUUGUCCGUGCCACACGCGUGUGUGUACACACGCGGAGGAACGCAGAACGCGGCUCGAAGGUCGUGGGACCGUGGAAGAAGCAAUCAACGGCAAGGAGCAGCUUCUCUUUGUAAAAGGCGAACGCGACGAGAGCGUUUCCAGAAAGGAGAGUCUUUGAGAGACUUUGCCGCGACGAGAGAGUCACUUUGGUCAGAUCUCAAGAGAAAAAAAGAGAAGCAGAGAGUGGAAAACGUGUGUUUGCUCGGAACAUUGCUCACGCCUGGCUUAGACGCUUUGCUGAUCCCAGAGGCUGUCCGUUGGAAGACGAAGAAGAAAAUUUCAUUUUUAGAGACGCUUCGUGAAACUGUAAUGAGAUCAGAAUUCUUCGUCGCUUCUCGAUCGAAAUAAAGAUUGUACAAAACAGCA